UGACAGGAACAAACUCCUCUGCCCACUCGUC
rnacentral:piRNA from 1 species